GGCGGCGGCGCCGCCAUGAUCGCCGCGGCUUCCGGCGCGCGGCGGAAGUGACGCCGGCGGGAGGCGCCGCGCGGGAGCGGAAGCGGCCGUCCAAGAUGGCGCCCACCAUCCAGACGCAGGCGCAGCGCGAUGAGCCGGGCCACCGGCCGAGCUCGCACCGGACCCUCCCCGAGAGGUCCGGGGUCGUUUGCCGGGUCAAGUUCUGCAACAGCCUCCCCGACAUCCCCUUCGACCCCAAGUUCAUCACCUACCCCUUCGACCAGAGCAGGUCCGGCACG